AGAGACCGGGCUAGUUAGCCCCCAAGAGAGACUCAGGAGACCAGAAGGACCACUGUGACCCUGUGCAGGCUCAGCCGCAGGCCCCUCACCUCCAAAAUGGGGCGGCCAUGAAAGCAGCCUCUGGGUACAGCCCCCGACAGCGUGGCUGCCAUGACCAUGGAGGCCAGGGGCAGCAGCUGGGUGUACAGCAUCUGUCUGUUGGCUUCAAGCAUGAAGCAGAGCAGAGGGUGGGGAUCCAGUAGGGCAUAGUGAUUUGAAGCAGUGGUGGGGAUACCCUCGCCCAUGUCUGUCUCCCUCCCCCAACCAGGUGGAGAACUCCGCAGGUACGAACGAGGAACGAGGUUACAGAGGCCUUCUUAGGCUUUGUGAUGCAUAGCUCAAGAUUUGGGAAAAGGUAAACAACCUCUGAGCAGAAUAAAAACAACAUUCUAGGGGCUGGGCACAGUGGGUCAUGCCUGUGAGUCACGUUGUGGGUCAAUCCCAACACUUUGGGAGGCCAAGGUGAGUGGAUAAUCUGAGGUCAGGAGUUCGAGACUGGUCUGACCCAUAUGGUGAAACCUUGCCUUUACGAGAAAUACAAAAAUUAGCCAGGCGUGGUGGCAUGAGUGCCUAUAGUCCCAGCUACUGGGAAGGCUGAGACAGAAUUGCUUGAACCUGGGAGGCGGAGGUUGCAGCGAGCCGAGAUGGCACCACUGCACUCCAGCCUGGGUGACACAGCAAGACUCCCUCUCAAAAAAAAGAAAAAAAAAGACAACAUUCUGCUCCUACACAGAAACAGGGCUCAUGGAAUAGGAAUGAUUUUUCUUUGUUUUUGUUUUUGGAGAUGGAGUCUCACUCUGUCACCCAGGCUGGAGUGCAGUGGUGCCCUCUCUACUCAGUGCAACCUCCCCCUCCCAGGUCCAAGCAAUUCUCCUGCCUCAGCCUCCCGAGUAGCUGGGACUACAGGCACAUGCCGCCACGCCCAGCUAAUUUUUUGUAUUUUUAGUAGAGAUGGAGUUUCACCUUGUUGCCCAGGCUGGUCUCAAACUCCUGAGCUCAGGCAAUCCGCCUGCCUCGACCUCCCAAAGUGCUAGGAUUACAGGUGUGAGCAACCACGUCCGGCCAAGGGAUAGGAACCUUUACUGCACAACCAGUGGAGCCUGUGGACAAGAAAGCAGUACCUGCAGGGAGGCUGUGUCAGAUUGUGAGAGUGGAUGUGGGAGCAGCAAACUGCAGCCCAGGGCAUCGCCUGAAUCUCCUCCCCACCCCACCCAUCACGUCCAGACUCCCAGCUCCCUCCCUUUCCAUCUGACCCACAGCAGAAUCAUGUGGGCAGAUAACUGCCUUCCUUCACCGCUAAUUCUAGAGGCGAGAGAAAUGCACAAUUCCUUAGAAGAGACUUGGGAGUUGCAACUUCUGUGUGUGGGGCUGGGGGAAGGGUCUGGGGAGUUGAUGCUUAGGGACGGGGAGAAUGGAAAGCAGGGACUUUACAGACGAGAAUGUGUUGACCUUCUUAGGAGAGGAACACAAGAAGUUAGAAGGUGGGUGGGAGGAAGUGCUUAUUUGAAUUUGACUUGGACAGAGGGUCCUGACCAUGGGAGAGAGAAUAAGGUGGUGGCACGUGGCCCAGAGAGGAUGCUGACGUGACACAGACACCACAGGCAAUCUGAGGAUGCCCUUGCCCGUGUCCACCCAGCCUCACUCCCACCAACUUUUUAACAUCUCAGAUUUAUCACCAGAGGCUGAAGUCCCUUGCUGUUGGAACUUCCUAGAGGGCCUGCAUGGGAGCAAAGGCUGCAGCUGUCAUCCUCACAGAGAGAGGGGGCAAUUUUCCCCUCCAUCCUUAAGGCAGGCAGUGGGAGCACCCUCCAUGCCUGGGAUCCUUGUGGAUGGCAAAGGGCUCCACCACAUGAGAGAGUCCAGUGGAGCGAGCGGAACCAGGAAGGGGUCCUGACUGCUCUGCUGGACAGAGGGGCCCACCCACUCCAGCAGCCACACUAGAAGGCACAGAACUCGGCAAGCCGGCCUCAGAAAGAGUGUGCAGGCAGGGGGAGACCUGCCUCCCGUGCAACGCAUCCUCCAUGCAGAGCGCCAGUGCUCACAGCACUCCUGCCGGCCGUGGGUGGGAGGCGGUGGGGAGGGGGCUGGAGCAGCAACCCCAUAGGAGCCCUCCUGCAGGCCACACUCCGCUCUACCUCGACAGUCACUGAACUCCCUGCCCCCAGGCCUGGACACAGCUCUGACCUCCCCCGUCCUGGGAGCCGGCCAGCCUGUGCAAGGCAACGAGAAGCAAUAUUUUCCACUUCCUCCCAGUUGACAAUUUCAUUCUUUUAAAAAAAACUCUUUCAUCCCCUUUCUCUGUGUGCCUUGCUCUGCUGUUUUAGCUAAGUUGCCUCAGAAGUUCAAAGGUGGGUAGGAGGAAGUACUUAUUUGGACUUCCUGUCAAACCUUCCCUCCCUGGCUGCCCUAUUUUUGACUUUGGCAGCCUGAACCCAGAUAGCUCUGCUGUGAAGGGAAACUCCCCAAAUGCCAGCAAGCGGGGUGGAGUGGGGGCUGGGGGCCAGAGAGGGGGUAACCGUCUUCUCAACUUAAUAGAAAAAUCCUUGUCUUCUUCCUUGGCAAGCUGGAGAAGGCAAGAUUUCUGGGUGGUGGGAAGGGGUGCCAGAAAAUAAAGCAAAUGAAAUUUAUCUCCAGUCAGCAAAGGCACCUGCGACCAACUUCAGCUGCUUCUCCACAAGGAAGAGCUGUGGACCCAGAAAGUGCAAGCACAUCCCUAAGAUGAAGUGGCUUGCAGUAAACGAGAACAGCAUAGAUGAGAGGUUCGAGCUUGAGGCCUCAAGGAAGCCUGAAUUGCUCCUGCUAUGGAGACCCUGGAGUUGCCUGGCUCCUGCAUGUUCCAAGCCUGCUCUUAAAACUGUCCUUUGGGAGGCUGAGGCAGGAGAAUGGCCUGACCCCGGGAGGCAGAGCUUGCAGUGAGGCGAGAUCGCACCACUGCACUCAGGCCUGGGCGACAAAGCGAGACUCCGUCUCAAAAAAACAAACAAACAACAAAACUGUCCUUUUGAGUAGGCGAACGCCUCCAUAUCCUUCCAAUAAGUAACUUUGUUGCUCAGGUUGCACAGAGUUAGAUUCUGUUGCUUGCAACCAAAACCCCAGCUCUUCCACAUACAUAGACCAUUCUCCUUUAAUUUGUCCAAACAGUCUCAAGGGGGAAGAGGAGGUAGGCUGGAGUAAGGAAGAGUCAUGGACUGGGAGAUGGGGAGGUCCCGGGCUUGGAUUCUACUCAAGCAAUGCCAUCAGCUGGGUGUCCAACCUUGAGCCCCUUUUAAAGUUUCCUCAUCUUUAAAAGGGACUGAUAAAACUUAACAUCCCACUUCACGUGCUUUUGCUGACACACGAAGUUGCUUGUGUUACAUGUCUGUCCUGUGUCUGACAUAUCUGACAUGGAGAUGCUACAAGUUCAUUUCCAUCCCCCAGACAAUUUCUAGAUCUUCCUUUUAGUCUAUGCUCGUCUCAGUGGCAGGUUAAUUUUCAGUUCACUUCUCUUUGAAGCCUCAAGCAAAAGAAACAAAUAAUCUUUUUUUGUAUUUUUAGUAGAGACGGGGCAUACAAAAAUUAGCCGGGUGUGGUGGCGUGUGCCGAUAGUCCCAGUUACUCGGCGGCCUGAGGCAGGAGAAUCGCUUGAACCUGGGAGGCAGAGGUUGUGGUGAGCUGGGAUUGCGCCACUGCACUCCAGCCUGGGCAACAGAGCAAGACUUCGUCUCAAAAAAAUAAAAUAAAUAAAAUAAAAAUAAUUGGAUAUCAAGAAUUUAUUCUGAAAAGCUUUCACGGAAUAUCAUCAGAGGGUGACGGUACAUGUGAUCUGCCAAACUAGGAUAUUUUUGGAAGUGGAAGGGAUGCUGCUUGUGAUAUGUUGGGAUGGCCGGCAGACUUUGGGGUUGCCCCUGGCAAUGGAAACAUAUGGGAUCCCCAGUCACAGAGUUCUCACCCCAUUAUACUGAUGCCUUGGUCUGUUUUCCUCCUGCAGAGUUUCAUCUGAUCCACCAAAGCAGAAUUUCCUACUCCUUGCUUGUGACAAAUGGUGACUCUAUUUGCAUUUAGCAAAAAAUUGGAAUACUUUUCGUCACAGGCAGAAACUCCAAAUGUAACUCAGGUGGGGAUAGUUUGAGCACAUGCCAAUAGCUUAUGUUCCCUGAGCCCAGCAACUUUUCAUUCCCAGCUGUUUCAUGAGGCCUCUUCAGAGCAUUGCCUUAUCCUGCCCUUACUGGAACUGGAGGGUCCACUUUAUCUUUAAACCAAGGUGACUGCAUAGGCUCAUAGCUCUAAAUUAAAUGUGUGACUAGCCAGCAGAAGUGCCAGAUUCUUACAAACAGACUUGCCCUGUUUCAUCCCCCUCAGCCCUGCCAUUGUUCUUUGCUAUCUACUAUAGCGUUUCAGGCCAUCUCUUGUGCUCCCUGACGGCCAGGCUUGUGAUUUAGGUAGUCUGUCCUAAACAACUGAAGGCCAGAAUUUCACAAAACUGCAGUGUCCCCUUAAGGAGGGCCUUUGUUCCUGUUCUGGGGGCUUCCUGUGUGAACCUGGAUUCUCCGAGGGACUCAAGUCCAUUCUGGAGAUUUGGCAGAAUGAUCCUCCCUGGUCUAGCUUUUCUUCCCAAGUCCAACCCCUCAAAAGUUUCAAACUGC
rnacentral:lncRNA from 1 species